UACGUAGGGUGCGAGCGUUGUCCGGAUUUAUUGGGCGUAAAGAGCUCGUAGGCGGCUCGUCGCGUCGACCGUGAAAACCCGCGGCUUAACUGCGGGCUUGCGGUUGAUACGGGCGGGCUAGAGUGUGGUAGGGGAGACUGGAAUUCCUGGUGUAGCGGUGAAAUGCGCAGAUAUCAGGAGGAACACCGGUGGCGAAGGCGGGUCUCUGGGCCGAUACUGACGCUGAGGAGCGAAAGCGUGGGGAGCGAACAGG
rnacentral:rRNA from 1 species